rnacentral:misc_RNA from 1 species
GAUGAAGAACGUAGCAAAAUGCGAUAAGUAAUGUGAAUUGCAGAAUUCAGUGAAUCAUCGAAUCUUUGAACGCACAUUGCGCCCGCUGGUAUUCCGGCGGGCAUGCCUGUUCGAGCAUCAUUUCAACCCUCAAGCCCCCGGGUUUGGUGUUGGGGAUCGGCUCUGCCCUUCUGGGCGGUGCCGCCCCCGAAAUACAUUGGCGGUCUCGCUGCAGCCUCCAUUGCGUAGUAGCUAACACCUCGCAACUGGAACGCGGCGCGGCCAUGCCGUAAAACCCCAACUUCUGAAUGUUGACCUCGGAUCAGGUAGGAAUACCCGCUGAACUUAAGCAUAUCAAUAAGCGGAGGA